AGAGUUUGAUCCUGGCUCAGGACGAACGCUGGCGGCGUGCCUAAUACAUGCAAGUAGAACGCUGAAGAGAGGAGCUUGCUCUUCUUGGAUGAGUUGCGAACGGGUGAGUAACGCGUAGGUAACCUGCCUUGUAGCGGGGGAUAACUAUUGGAAACGAUAGCUAAUACCGCAUAACAAUGGAUGACACAUGUCAUUUAUUUGAAAGGGGCAAUUGUUCCACUACAAGAUGGACCUGCGUUGUAUUAGCUAGUAGGUGAGGUAAUGGCUCACCUAGGCGACGAUACAUAGCCGACCUGAGAGGGUGAUCGGCCACACUGGGACUGAGACACGGCCCAGACUCCUACGGGAGGCAGCAGUAGGGAAUCUUCGGCAAUGGGGGCAACCCUGACCGAGCAACGCCGCGUGAGUGAAGAAGGUUUUCGGAUCGUAAAGCUCUGUUGUAAGUCAAGAACGGGUGUGAGAGUGGAAAGUUCACACUGUGACGGUAGCUUACCAGAAAGGGACGGCUAACUACGUGCCAGCAGCCGCGGUAAUACGUAGGUCCCGAGCGUUGUCCGGAUUUAUUGGGCGUAAAGCGAGCGCAGGCGGUUUGAUAAGUCUGAAGUUAAAGGCUGUGGCUCAACCAUAGUUCGCUUUGGAAACUGUCAAACUUGAGUGCAGAAGGGGAGAGUGGAAUUCCAUGUGUAGCGGUGAAAUGCGUAGAUAUAUGGAGGAACACCGGUGGCGAAAGCGGCUCUCUGGUCUGUAACUGACGCUGAGGCUCGAAAGCGUGGGGAGCGAACAGGAUUAGAUACCCUGGUAGUCCACGCCGUAAACGAUGAGUGCUAGGUGUUGGAUCCUUUCCGGGAUUCAGUGCCGCAGCUAACGCAUUAAGCACUCCGCCUGGGGAGUACGACCGCAAGGUUGAAACUCAAAGGAAUUGACGGGGGCCCGCACAAGCGGUGGAGCAUGUGGUUUAAUUCGAAGCAACGCGAAGAACCUUACCAGGUCUUGACAUCCCGAUGCUAUUUCUAGAGAUAGAAAGUUACUUCGGUACAUCGGUGACAGGUGGUGCAUGGUUGUCGUCAGCUCGUGUCGUGAGAUGUUGGGUUAAGUCCCGCAACGAGCGCAACCCCUAUUGUUAGUUGCCAUCAUUCAGUUGGGCACUCUAGCGAGACUGCCGGUAAUAAACCGGAGGAAGGUGGGGAUGACGUCAAAUCAUCAUGCCCCUUAUGACCUGGGCUACACACGUGCUACAAUGGUUGGUACAACGAGUUGCGAGUCGGUGACGGCGAGCUAAUCUCUUAAAGCCAAUCUCAGUUCGGAUUGUAGGCUGCAACUCGCCUACAUGAAGUCGGAAUCGCUAGUAAUCGCGGAUCAGCACGCCGCGGUGAAUACGUUCCCGGGCCUUGUACACACCGCCCGUCACACCACGAGAGUUUGUAACACCCGAAGUCGGUGAGGUAACCUUUUGGAGCCAGCCGCCUAAGGUGGGACAGAUGAUUGGGGUGAAGUCGUAACAAGGUAGCCGUAUCGGAAGGUGCGGCUGGAUCACCU
rnacentral:rRNA from 2 species